rnacentral:rRNA from 1 species
GACGAACCGUGCGAACGUUGUUCGGAUUCACUGGGCUUAAAGGGCGCGUAGGCGGGUCAGCAAGUCCGGGGUGAAAGCUUUCGGCUUAACCGGAAAAGUGCCUUGGAUACUGCUGGUCUAGAGGGAGGUAGGGGCAGGUGGAACUUCCGGUGGAGCGGUGAAAUGCGUUGAUAUCGGAAGGAACGCCGGUGGCGAAAGCGACCUGCUGGACCUCUUCUGACGCUGAUGCGCGAAAGCUAGGGGAGCAAACGGG